rnacentral:lncRNA from 1 species
GAGUCGCUCAUAAUUGGAGGGCUUUCUCCUGCGCCUGCGAGAGGAAGGCUGAGACGGCUGCAUUUCACCGCGGCAGCUAAAAUUG